rnacentral:misc_RNA from 1 species
UUUUGAAGUUCCUUAACCCAGUAUUGUGCUUUGUUGAAUGAUUCUGGACUUGUAAUAUCAUACACAACCACUGCAAGAGCUGCUCCUCGAUAAUAUAGUGGUGCCAAUGCAGCAUACCUCUCCUGGCCAGCAGUAUCCCAUAUUUCGAACUUCACUGUUGUCGAGUCUUGCAAAGCUAUUGUUUGUGACAAGAAAGAUGCACCAACAGUUACCUUUGAUGUGGGAUCAAACUGGCCUCGAACAAAGCGAAGGACAAUACAGCUUUUGCCAACACCUGAAUCUCCCAACAAUACCAACUUGACUUUCAGAUUUUUCGAGUCGGCAACCGGGGACUUCUCGCUGUUCACGCUGUUCAACCGGCCCG